rnacentral:lncRNA from 1 species
UGGUGUCGGGAGGCCGUAUUUUAAAUAUUUGAUGCAAAAGGUUGGUCAUUUGUUUAUAGAAAUGUGAAAAUUAUUAUAUUUGUGAUAAAGAGGACAUAGAGACAUACUUAUUAUAGAGAAGUAAUAAUAAGUGUUUAUUUGUGGGGAACCUAAACUUUGGGAAUAAGUUUUAUUGAUGUAGUACAUAAACGGCAUUGCAUUUUGAAGUAUAAUUAUGAGACAUGAAAAUGAUUGAUCAUGUAUCAAAGAAGUAGAUGAACCUAGUCUUUUACUUAUAGAAAUAACAGUUGGCGCAUUUUUUGUUAAUGUUGUUUGGAUGACAUAAUGUUGUAGCCUUUGUUGCUUGUAGUCAUGUUUAGAUCAUAAUUUAAAUCGAGCAAUGUUAAUGCAUAGAUGGAUGGAUUUCUAUUGUUACAGCGCAAUGAUUUC